rnacentral:pre_miRNA from 1 species
GCGUCGUCUCUCUGUAGAAAUGCUUCCAGUGACUGUGUCUGGAAAAGCCCUCGCAUUGCCACGUUUGCUGGAAGCAAGUCUAUAUGGAGAUGGGAG